AGGAGAUAUAGCUGGACUGUGGAAAAGGAUUGAAACAAAAAGAGCCAUCUGGGAAGCUAAGACACUUGAGAGGUUAAGCAACUUGCUGAGUUCAUCCAAAGAAGCCCGCGACAGAUUUGGCAAUUAGAAUCGAGAUGAAAAAGAACUGCAAACAUCUAGCACAAAGAGGACCAUUAUUGUCAUCUAAUCUCACUUCCUGCAUAACUCAAGCCCACAGAAUUUCACCCAAUGACUCCUCCACGCAUCUCAUGCCUUGGGGUUGAGUGAAAACGCCUCUUUUUUG